ACUGAUAGGACGUGGGAGAUUCCUGUCCUUUCCACUCUUCAGUCUGCUCCAGCCCACCCACGUCGUACGUGGCCCUGGAUCCUUCAUGUUCAUGAAGUUCCCAGAAAUCCACAGCAGCAUGCCUGCCAAGCUCUCGGUGGGCAUCGUUCUCAAGGUCGUUGUUAUUGCGUGAGAGGCUGGGGCUGCCGCAUUGACUCAUUCUUUAUCAAAUCUGUGGAUGCCCAAUGUGGGUGUUGAGAAUUGAACUUGAGUCCUUGAAAGAGCAGACAACACUAAGCCACCUCUUCAGUUCCUUAUUACAUUUUUUUCCCCUUGCUUGAUGUAUACCUAAGCCUUGAGAUUGCCAGGUCUACAAUGGCAAGAAGCACACCAGUCCCAGCAGUGCCUGCCUACACAGUUCACUUAACUCAUACUUUAUUCCAAGCAGCCGAAGUGGGUGUCUCCUAAGGAACCCAGGCUACAGAGUCUCCUGUGCAACUCAGGCUGGCCUCCAGCUUGUCAUCCUCCCUACUUCUGAUUCUCAAGUGCUGGGGACACAGGUAUGUACCAUCACACCUGGUCAGAGAUCAUGUGUGUGUGUGUCUCUU
rnacentral:lncRNA from 1 species